GUGCUCGCUUCGGCAGCACAUAUACUAAAAUUAGAAUGAUACAGAGAUUAGCAUGGCCCUAGCACAAGGAUGACAGGCAAAUUCAUGAAGCAUUCCAUUAAAAA
ensembl:snRNA U6 U6 spliceosomal RNA